CUGCAGCCCGACUUGAGCGGAAAUCCUUUUUUGCUUUUACUCAAUUUCUAUUGAAUGUGAAACUUUCUGCAAAAAAGAUUGGGAGCGGAAGGCGGAUUAAGC
rnacentral:sRNA from 1 species